rnacentral:rRNA from 1 species
GACGAACGCUGGCGGCGUGCCUAAUACAUGCAAGUCGAACGAGAGCGACCGGUGCUUGCACUGGUCAAUCUAGUGGCGAACGGGUGAGUAACACGUGGGUAACCUGCCCAUCAGAGGGGGAUAACAUCCGGAAACGGAUGCUAAAACCGCAUAGGUCUUCGAGCCGCAUGGCUUGAAGAGGAAAAGAGGCGCAAGCUUCUGCUGAUGGAUGGACCCGCGGUGCAUUAGCUAGUUGGUGAGGUAACGGCUCACCAAGGCCGUGAUGCAUAGCCGACCUGAGAGGGUGAUCGGCCACAUUGGGACUGAGACACGGCCCAGACUCCUACGGGAGGCAGCAGUAGGGAAUCUUCCGCAAUGGACGCAAGUCUGACGGAGCAACGCCGCGUGAGUGAAGAAGGUUUUCGGAUCGUAAAACUCUGUUGUUAGAGAAGAACAAGUGCUAGAGUAACUGUUAGCGCCUUGACGGUAUCUAACCAGAAAGCCACGGCUAACUACGUG